rnacentral:rRNA from 1 species
GACGAACGCUGGCGGCGUGCUUAACGCAUGCAAGUCGAGCGGAAAGGCCACUUCGGUGGUACUCGAGCGGCGAACGGGUGAGUAACACGUGAGUAAUCUGCCCCUGGCUUUGGGAUAGCCACCGGAAACGGUGAUUAAUACCGGAUACGACCACUUCUCGCAUGGGAUGGUGGUGGAAAGUUUUUUCGGCCAGGGAUGUGCUCGCGGCCUAUCAGCUUGAUGGUGAGGUAAUGGCUCACCAUGGCUUCGACGGGUAGCCGGCCUGAGAGGGUGACGGGUCACACUGGGAAUGAGACAGGGCCCAGACUCCUACGGGAGGCAGCAGUGGGGAAUAUUGGACAAUGGGCGGAAGCCUGAUCCAGCAACGCCGCGUGAGGGAUGACGGCCUUCGGGUUGUAAACCUCUUUCAGCAGGGACGAAGCGCAAGUGACGGUACCUGCAGAAGAAGCACCGGCCAACUACGUGCCAGCCGCCGCCGUAA